rnacentral:lncRNA from 1 species
GUUUCCACGGCUGGCAGCCCGGCUCCCUGCCGCCCGCCCGCUUCUGGGCUUCUUGGCUGGGGCUGCUCCUGACAGAAGGGAUGCGUGUUGUCGGGGGCGGGGGGCGGCGUGUGUGCGUGUGCGUGUGCGAGAGUAUGUGUGUGCGCUUAAAAUACAAAAAAAAGAAGGCUGGCUACACUCAGCUGCGAGAGGCUGGCCGGGCUCCGUCCGUGCCAAUUCCCUCCGAGCUGGCACCGUGGGGACCGGGAGGGGGGAGAGGUGAGGGAAGAUGGACGCUUGCCACGGACGAGCGGCAGGGCUGGGCGCCUCCCCGGUGCCAGCGGGCGCACGGGGCCAAAACUCACAAACAAAAACCGCAGCAGAUCGCUGGCAGCCCGUCCUGGGGAGGCGGCAGCCACUUGGCAGAGGAGCCAUGGAGGACCCGGUAGGGAGUAGGCGGCCGGCGCACAGGCUUUCCUGCUGCCGAGGAGCUCUCGUUCUGGGUGACUUGGCAUUUGCUUACGAAUGAAGCCAGAUGCGGAAGCAGACCGGCCUUGAGGGAGAGGCGUCAACGGCACUGGCCGUCCACGACCCGCGGAGCAGCCAAGAGGACAGACGCUGGGAGACACCGGCCGCCACUGGCCUGAGGGCAUCUGUCCUGACAUGUCCCCUCUGACGCUUCCGGAAGAGUUGGGAGGCUCUUAACAACCGAAAUGUGUGCCUGGAGAAUUGGGGGAAUUAGGAAUCUGACCCUUCCGUGCCCCUGUGCCUUCCAAAGCAUUUCCUCUUUUGUUCUGUCCACUUUCCUUUGAAUGUGCUCGCUGCU